rnacentral:sRNA from 1 species
GAUUUAUAAGAAACCCUUAGCUGAAUGCAGGGUGGGGAGAACGAAAGACAAAAGCAUCUUUUUUCAGAAGGGAAACUGAAAGAAAGAGGGGAAGAGUAUUAAAGACCAUUUCUGGCUGGGCAGGGCACUCUCAGCAGCUCAACUGCCCAGCGUGACCAGUGGCCACCUCUGCAGUGUCUUCCACAACCUGGUCUUGACUCGUCUGCUGGACAAAGCCUCUGACCUCAGGCCGGCUGUGAACGUAGUUCCUGAGAGAUAGCAAACAUGCCCAACAGUGAGCCCGCAUCUCUGCUGGAGCUGUUCAACAGCAUCGCCACACAAGGGGAGCUCGUGAGGUCUCUCAAAGCGGGAAAUGCAUCAAAGGAUGAAAUUGAUUCUGCAGUAAAGAUGUUGGUGUCAUUAAAAAUGAGCUACAAAGCUGCCGCGGGGGAGGAUUACAAGGCUGACUGUCCUCCAGGGAACCCAGCACCUACCAGUAAUCAUGGCCCAGAUGCCACAGAAGCUGAAGAGGAUUUUGUGGACCCAUGGACAGUACAGACAAGCAGUGCAAAAGGCAUAGACUACGAUAAGCUCAUUGUUCGGUUUGGAAGUAGUAAAAUUGACAAAGAGCUAAUAAACCGAAUAGAGAGAGCCACCGGCCAAAGACCACACCACUUCCUGCGCAGAGGCAUCUUCUUCUCACACAGAGAUAUGAAUCAGGUUCUUGAUGCCUAUGAAAAUAAGAAGCCAUUUUAUCUGUACACGGGCCGGGGCCCCUCUUCUGAAGCAAUGCAUGUAGGUCACCUCAUUCCAUUUAUUUUCACAAAGUAAGUAUUGGAUCUUAUGGCUUUUCUUACUCUCUUAGUGAAUUGAGAAUGUUGCUUAUAAACCAUGUUUAGAACUGACAAGAUCAUGCUAGUUCAUUUGCUGAGCAACCAAGAUGUCAAGAGUUGGCACUUUUUUGGCUUCCAUUCACUUUGUUCCUGGGCUCACUUUAGAGGACCAUGGAGUGAUGGGGAGAGCGCAGCUUUGGAGUCAGCCAGGCCUGCUCCUCUUCUCAUCCUGCUCCCUGUCCGCAUGG